rnacentral:rRNA from 1 species
GAUGAACGCUGGCGGCGUGCCUAAUACAUGCAAGUCGAGCGAACGGACGAGAAGCUUGCUUCUCUGAUGUUAGCGGCGGACGGGUGAGUAACACGUGGAUAACCUACCUAUAAGACUGGGAUAACUUCGGGAAACCGGAGCUAAUACCGGAUAAUAUUUUGAACCGCAUGGUUCAAAAGUGAAAGACGGUCUUGCUGUCACUUAUAGAUGGAUCCGCGCUGCAUUAGCUAGUUGGUAAGGUAACGGCUUACCAAGGCAACGAUGCAUAGCCGACCUGAGAGGGUGAUCGGCCACACUGGAACUGAGACACGGUCCAGACUCCUACGGGAGGCAGCAGUAGGGAAUCUUCCGCAAUGGGCGAAAGCCUGACGGAGAAACGCCGCGUGAGUGAUGAAGGUCUCCGGAUCGUAAAACUCUGUUAUUAGGGAAGAACAUAUGUGUAAGUAACUGUGCACAUCUUGACGGUACCUAAUCAGAAAGCCACGGCUAACUACGUG